ACUCCUACGGGAGGCAGCAGUGGGGAAUAUUGGACAAUGGGCGCAAGCCUGAUCCAGCCAUGCCGCGUGAGUGAUGAAGGCCUUAGGGUUGUAAAGCUCUUUUGUCCGGGACGAUAAUGACGGUACCGGAAGAAUAAGCCCCGGCUAACUUCGUGCCAGCAGCCGCGGUAAUACGAAGGGGGCUAGCGUUGCUCGGAAUCACUGGGGCGUAAAGGGGCGCGUAGGCGGCCUUGUAAGUUGGGGGUGAAAGCCCGUGGCUCAACCACGGAAUUGCCUUCGAUACUGCUUGGCUUGAGUGUGGUAGAGGUUGGUGGAACUGCGAGUGUAGAGGUGAAAUUCGUAGAUAUUCGCAAGAACACCGGUGGCGAAGGCGGCCAACUGGACCAUCACUGACGCUGAGGCGCGAAAGCGUGGGGAGCAAACAGGAUUAGAUACCCUGGUAGGAAAGCG
rnacentral:rRNA from 1 species